CUGCGGAAGAUCAUUGUCGAAACCUGCCCAGCAGAAAGACCCGCGAACAYGUUACAACACUUGGGGGGCGAGGGGUGCCAUGCGCCUUGAUCCCCCCCAUGCCGAGUGCGUGUGGCUUUGCCCCGCGUCCCCGGCCACUAACCAACCCCGGCGCGGAAUGCGUCAAGGAAACGUAAAGAAACGAGCUUCUACUGCGGCCCCAGAUUUGGUGCUUGCUGCAGCAGAUGUGAUGUGUUUCGUUUAAUUCUAACAACGACUCUCGGCAACGGAUAUCUCGGCUCUCGCAUCGAUGAAGAACGUAGCGAAAUGCGAUACUUGGUGUGAAUUGCAGAAUCCCGUGAACCAUCGAGUCUUUGAACGCAAGUUGCGCCCGAAGCCAUCCGGCCAAGGGCACGUCUGCCUGGGCGUCACACACCGUUGCCCCCCUAAAUCCCUCUGACACUAUCCAAUAUGGUGCAUAGGGACCACGAGUGGCGGAGAAUGGCCUCCCGUGGGCCACGGCUCGCGGUUGGUCUAAAUUUGAGUCCUCGGUCACGGUUUCUGUGGCGAUAGGUGGUUGUCGAUCGUUCGGUGCCCCGCCACGUGUUCCGGACAAAAGCAUCGAGAGACUUGACAAACUUGACCCCAAUGCGCCCCAUGUAGGCGCUUCCAACGCGACCCCAGGUCAGGCG
rnacentral:rRNA from 1 species